rnacentral:rRNA from 1 species
AGAGCUCAAAUUUAAAAUCUGGCGUGCCUCCGGUCGUCCGAGUUGUAGUCUGGAGAAGCGUUUUCCGUAUUGGACCGUGUACAAGUCUCUUGGAACAGGGCGUCAUAGAGGGUGAGAAUCCCGUCUUUGACACGGACUACCAAUGCUUUGUGAUGCGCUCUCAAAGAGUCGAGUUGUUUGGGAAUGCAGCUCAAAAUGGGUGGUAAAUUCCAUCUAAAGCUAAAUACAGGCGAGAGACCGAUAGCGAA